rnacentral:rRNA from 1 species
UACGGAAGGCAGCAGUGGGGAAUAUUGCACAAUGGGCGCAAGCCUGAUGCAGCCAUGCCGCGUGUAUGAAAAAGGCCUUCGGGUUGUAAAGUACUUUCAGUCGUGAGGAAGGUGUUAAGGUUAAUAACCUUAGCAAUUGACGUUAGCGACAGAAGAAGCACCGGCUAACUCCGUGCCAGCAGCCGCGGUAAUACGGAGGGUGCGAGCGUUAAUCGGAAUUACUGGGCGUAAAGGGCACGCAGGCGGUUAAUUAAGUUGGAUGUGAAAUCCCCGGGCUUAACCUGGGAAUGGCAUUCAAGACUGGUUAGCUAGAGUCUUGUAGAGGGGGUAGAAUUCCAUGUGUAGCGGUGAAAUGCGUAGAGAUGUGGAGGAAUACCGGUGGCGAAGGCGGCCCCUGGACAAAGACUGACGCUCAUGCGCGAAAGCGUGGGGAGCAAACAGGGAUUAGAUACC